rnacentral:rRNA from 1 species
AUGCAUGAUGUUCUAUGUGAAAUGGACAUUCGAAACCGCAACAAUCAAGUAUACAAGGGUUGGUUGGAGGAGGUACGGAAAGUAGCACAUGUGAUGGAGGACAUGGUGAAUGAGUACUUAUAUCUAGUUGGUCCGGAACAUGAUAUAGGUUGUUGUUUUUUCCUAAAGAAAGGAUUCAAAAAGCCAAUAUCUCUACUUUCUUUGAACCGGAUAGCUUUCAAGGUGAAGGAAGUAGAGAAAGAACUUUCACACUUGUCAGAGACAAAAAAUCGCUGGGUUCCAAUGAUAAACAACGGGGAUACUAGCAACUCAAAUUACAUUGUCAAGAGAUCCCAAGAGCUAGCAAACAUUUCACGCUCCCUUGAUGAAGAAGAUUUAGUGGGGGUGGAUAAAAACAGAGAAAAACUCGAGCAAUGGUUAGCAGGUGAUGAUCUGGAAUGCUCUGUGAUAGCUCUGCUCGGAAUGGGAGGUCUUGGUAAAACUGCUUUAGCUGCUAAUGUGUACAAGAAGGUGAGGGAGAAAUUCCAAUGCCACGCCUGGGUUUCUGUCUCUCAAACUUAUUCUAGAGAAGAUGUCUUGAGGAAUAUAAGCAAGGUACUUUUCAAAGAUAAUGUCACUGUUCUAUCUAAAACUACAGCUAUGGACAUCACAUGCCUUGAAGAGAUGGUGAAGAGUUUUCUUGAGCAGCACAAGUAUUUGAUUAUUUUCGAUGAUGUUUGGACUCCGGAAACAUUUGAUGAUUUGUCUGGGACGCUUAUUCAUAAUGAUAAGGGUAGUAGACUGAUAAUCACAACAAGGGAAGGUGAUGUUGCUGCACUUGCCUCUCAAGGACAUAUCUUAAGACUGGAAGCUUUACCAGAAGAGAAGGCAUGGGAUCUUUUUUGUAAGAAAGCCUUUCCAAGGAAUGCAAAUCAUGAAUGUCCUACAAAAUUGAAGCCAUUGUCCGAGGAAAUAACUAGCAAGUGCAAAGGCUUGCCUCUUGCUAUUGUGUCAGUUGGCAGCCUCUUGCGUGCGCGUGAGAAAACUGUGGAAGAAUGCAGAAGAAUAAAUGACCAAUUGAGCUGGGAGACAAUUAAUAAUUUGAGGCUCGAGCACAUAAGGAAUGUUUUGUAUUUGAGCUUCAUAUACCUUCCAACACACUUGAAAAGUUGUUUCUUGUACUGCAGUCUAUUUCCGGAAGACUAUCUUUUACAUAGGAAACAACUUGUGCGGUUAUGGACAGCAGAGGGGUUCAUCGAGGAGAGGGGUGAAAGCACAUUAGAGGAAGUGGCAGAAGGAUAUCUAAAGGAAUUGAUUGACAGAAACAUGCUACAACUUAUUGAAAGGAAUCACUUUGGUAGGAUGAAGAAAUUCAGAAUGCAUGAUCUCUUACGUGAGCUAGCAGUUGAUUUGUGCAAGAAGAAUUGUAUUGGUGUUACUUAUGACGAUGAAUGUGGGGGGUCUCUUGAGAUGAAUGGACGACGACUGGUACUCCACAAACAUCAGCAAAUUUCUGGUCUACACCAACUUCGUACAGUCAUUACACUAUGCAAUCGGAUGCCAUCAACCACUAUACCUUUGCUAUGUAAGGAGUCAAGAUAUUUAACAGUGCUAGAAUUAAGUGGUCUACCCAUCAAGAAGAUUCCAGAUGCAAUUGGAGAUCUUUUUAAUCUCCGCCAUUUGGGUUUGCGUAAUUCAAAAGUGAAGAUGCUCCCAAAGUCUGUUCAGAAGCUUUCAAAUUUGUUGACACUGGACCUUUAUGGAUCUGAUAUAUAUGAGUUGCCUAGUGGGAUUGUGAAGCUGAAGAAGCUCAGGCACUUAUUUGUUGAGAGAGUAAUAGAUCCGACUUGGAGAGAGCUUACAUGUCGCGGUGGUGUAUGUAUCCCCAAUGGUCUUGGAAACCUAACAAAUCUGCAGACAUUGCAAGCAUUGGAAGCACAAGAAGAGUCUCUUAGGCAUUUAGGGGAGCUGAGGCAAAUGAGAAGCUUGAGGUUAUGGAAUGUGAAGGGAAUUUACUGUGGGCUUAUCAGCGAAUCUCUAGUUCAGAUGCAGUAUUUGUCCUACCUAAGUGUGAAUGCAAGUGACGAGAAUGAGGUUCUAUUGUUGAAUGUCUGUCUGCCAAGCCUGCAAAAGCUAGUUUUGAGAGGACGACUAGCGGAAGGGGCCUUGGAUGAGUCUCCUCUCUUCCAAGCUGUUGGGGGGCAGAACUUGUAUUCAUUGUCUCUAUACUGGUCACAGCUGAGAGAAGACCCCCUUCCAUCCCUUUCUCAGUUGUCAAAUUUGACGCGUCUAUGUUUCACCAGAGCAUACAACGGGGAGCAGCUGACAUUUCUCACGGGGUGGUUCCCGAAGCUAAAGGUUCUCUGGCUAAGAGACCUGCCUAAUCUGAAUCGGCUAAAGAUACAAGAAGGUUCCAUGACGAGCCUCGAAAGAUUAUUCUUAGGCAACCUCAGCAGCAUGAGGGAGGUCCCAGCUGGCAUUGAGUUCCUCAUGCCCCUCAAGUUCCACCUUCAUUCGCCCACGCAGUUCUUCACUUCAGUUGCCACUGCCUGCAUGUGUUGGCCACUUCCGCUAAUAUUUGCGUGCUUUUGCUUGUAA